ACCCCUCUCUCUGUGUGCUCUCACUCUCCACACAGCGUGUGCGGGGGCUGCAAGGAGAGGCACAGCUGAAGGCAGCACCUUGUCUGUGGCCAUCUGCGCUGGUGUCCUGUGCCUGCAAACAGGAAAGUAGAAGACGCGUCUAUCAGCCCGGGAUGGGUGCAACAAGCUGGGCUCCAGCAGCCGGGCAGGAGGAACCCUGGAGGCGGCAGCCAUGUGUAACAUCCCCCAACGCAGCUCUCAUCUCUGCAAGGAGAAAUUAACUGCAUGUCUUCUUUUGCUUAUGGUUUCCCAUCAAUGCCUUUCAUCUGGAUAUCCUCAGAAGAAAAAGGAAGGAAGAAUGAGAAGAGCCUGAGUAUUCCCACAGCUACAGAGCCACAACCACAGCCUCCGCAGUGCAAGCCGCCGUGCCAUUCGCUUUGCCUUAAAAAACCACACACUUCUAACAGAGGCGGCUGUGAGUCUGUCAUAUCUCAUCUUACACCCAAAAGCAACCAGAAUGGUGGAAGAUCAUUUAAGAUGCAGCAGUGACAGCUUCUGAACUGGAAGACACCUGAGUUUUAACAAGGCUGCUAGAGGUACAAGAAACACUCUGGAUUAUUGUCUUUAUACACCAGACUUGAAGCAGACCAGUACCACUGCCUUGCUCAGAAAGUGGUGUAAACACAAGUGAAUAAACAGCCUGCUCAGAAGCACUUGUUUUAGUUGUGCUGAAAAAAUACAUCAUCUUUUCAGUGGGAUCCAGUCCCACCUUCUGCCUGUACUCACAGUCCCCAGCGAUGGUGGAGCACAGUUCAAUUGGCCUUGAAUAACUCAAUUACAGGGUUACCCAGCAUUGCCUACAGCACAUGCACAAAAGGGCAUCUCAAGGGAACCAUGUCUUCUGCUUGUAGGAUUAGCCACAUGCUCCAGAGUGAGCAAAGAAGUUGUUAAUUGUUUUGUAUUUGGCCGGGUUAAGAGAAGAUAAGAGAAG